UACGAAGGGGGGCUAGCGUUGCUCGGAAUCACUGGGCGUAAAGCGCACGUAGGCGGCUUUCUAAGUCAGGGGUGAAAUCCUGGAGCUCAACUCCAGAACUGCCUUUGAUACUGGAAGUCUUGAGUAUGGAAGAGGUUGGUGGAACUGCGAGUGUAGAGGUGAAAUUCGUAGAUAUUCGCAAGAACACCAGUGGCGAAGGCGGCCAACUGGUCCAUUACUGACGCUGAGGUGCGAAAGCGUGGGGAGCAAACAGGG
rnacentral:rRNA from 1 species